AUGUCCAACCUGGAGAAAGAAGAACUCUCCAAUGCAAUUAUCCUCUAUCUUAGAAGUCUUGGGAUUCAUGUCCAGCCUUGGAAGAUCAGCUCUAGCGAGGAGAAUCACACGGUGCCUUGUGUAGCUGGUGGUCUGUUUGGUGUCCCACUGCACACACUGCCCAUUUCAAAGCAGGUAGCCGGUGUGCCACAGUUCCUUGCUGAUGCUUGUGAGUUGCUCCGGCCACACCUUCACGUUGAAGGACUUUUCCGGAAAUGUGGAUCAACGACACGCAUCAAGGCUUUAAAGGUGUGCUCAGAAUAA
rnacentral:lncRNA from 1 species